rnacentral:rRNA from 1 species
GAGUUUGAUCGUGGCUCAGAUUGAACGCUGGCGGCAGGCCUAACACAUGCAAGUCGAGCGGAUGACGGGAGCUUGCUCCUUGAUUCAGCGGCGGACGGGUGAGUAAUGCCUAGGAAUCUGCCUGGUAGUGGGGGACAACGUUUCGAAAGGAACGCUAAUACCGCAUACGUCCUACGGGAGAAAGCAGGGGACCUUCGGGCCUUGCGCUAUCGGAUGAGCCCAGGUCGGAUUAGCUAGUUGGUGGGGUAAUGGCUCACCAAGGCGACGAUCCGUAACUGGUCUGAGAGGAUGAUCAGUCACACUGGAACUGAGACACGGUCCAGACUCCUACGGGAGGCAGCAGUGGGGAAUAUUGGACAAUGGGCGAAAGCCUGAUCCAGCCAUGCCGCGUGUGUGAAGAAGGUCUUCGGAUUUGUAAAGCACUUUAAGUUGGGAGGAAGGGCAGUAAGUUAAUACCUUGCUGUUUUGACGUUACCGACAGAAUAAGCACCGGCUAACUCUGUGCCAGCCGCCGC